ACACGUGUGCGGGCUGAGUCGCCGGGGCCUGGAGGGGGAACCGCGCGCUGCGGCUGCUGCGCUUGCUCCGUCCCCGGACGCCGCUGGCUUGCUUCCCUUGUCAGCUGUGUGGGGACUGGCAGAGGGUGUGAGAGCGGGAAACGACCGGACGAGCGGCGGGGAGCGUCCUGGGUGAGGAGGAGGAAGUCUGGUCUUAGGUGUGAAGGAUGCUGACGCGUUCCGGCGCGUCGCGGUGCCACUCUCGGCUUCUGAGCGUUGCCCUACGCCGCAGCGGGUUUUCCUCAGCUGUGAAGCGCGGCUGCGUCCUGCCCGGGCUUCCCCCCGCCGGGACGGUUCCAACGCCCGAGCCCAGCGGGCUUGGGCCUCCGCUGUCGGGCCAGGCUAGUUGCUCCGGGGCUGGGAGUUACGGCACCGGGGUUGGGGCGGAGAAGACGAACUAGUUCAACUCGACCCGGUUAAGCAAGCGCAGCAGUGUGUGUUCUUGGAUCAUAGUAUUUCAUGUAAACAUUUUGAUUUAAGAGAAACAAAAGGGAAAAUAUUAACCGUUUUCAAGCAUCCAAAGGCGAAAUGCUUCAUCUCUGGGAUGGAGUAGAGGAGUAGCCUCUGCGGUUGAGUUGCAGUCGUGGGUGCAAGAAGCAGCGCUGAAGCAGAGUGCAGCCCCGGAAUAGGGCGGGAUGGAAUGGCCUGGGCAGUUCAGAAACCCGCGAGGAGUCCAGGGCGGAACAGAAGGGGACACAUAGAUAAAUGUGCACAGAGGGAAGAAGGCCAUUUGGAGAUAGAAGCAGGGAUUGGAGUGAUGCAACUGGAAGCCAAGAAACGCCGCAGAAUGCCAGGAGCCAGCAGAAGCUAAGAAAAGGCAAAGAAGGAUUAUUCCAAAGUGCCUUCCGAAGAAGGUUGGCCCUGCCAAAAACCUGAUUUCAGACUUCUAGCCCCCAAAACUGCAAGAGAAUAAAUUUUGUUGUUUCAA
rnacentral:lncRNA from 1 species